rnacentral:piRNA from 1 species
UNCCAUCAGUGACCGUGCCUAUGCAUUGC